rnacentral:rRNA from 1 species
UUACCUAUGGGGGGCAGCAGUGAGGAAUAUUGGUCAAUGGGCUUACGCCUGAACCAGCCAAGUCGCGUGAGGGAAGACUGCCCUAUGGGUUGUAAACCUCUUUUGUCAGGGAGCAACGCCGGCUACGUGUAGCCGGACUGAGAGUACCUGAAGAAAAAGCAUCGGCUAACUCCGUGCCAGCAGCCGCGGUAAUACGUAGGGUGCAAGCGUUAUCCGGAUUUAUUGGGCGUAAAGGGCUCGUAGGCGGUUCGUCGCGUCCGGUGUGAAAGUCCAUCGCUUAACGGUGGAUCCGCGCCGGGUACGGG